GACGAACGCUGGCGGCGUGCUUAAUACAUGCAAGUCGAACGGACAGGCCCUGCUCUUGUGGGGUGCUCGAGUGGCGAACGGGUGUGUAACACGCGUGUAACCCCCCCUUGUCUUUGUGAUAACUCUAGGAAACUGGGGCUAAUACCGGAUAUGAUCUCUUGCUGCAUGUUGGUCGAUGGAAAGUUUCGGCGGUUGGGGAUGGACUCGCGGCUUAUCAGCUUGUUGGUGGGGUAGUGGCUUACCAAGGCUUUGACGGGUAGCCGGCCUGAGAGGGUGACCGGCCACAAUGGGACUGAGAUACGGACCAGACGCGUACGGGAGGCAGCAGUGGGGAAUAUUGCACAGUGGGCGGAAGCCUGAGGCAGCGGCCCCGCGUGCGGGAUGACGGGCUUCGGGUUGUGAACCGCUUUCGCAUGUGACGAAGCGUGAGUGACGGUAAUGGGUAAAGAAGCACCGGCUAACUACGUG
rnacentral:rRNA from 1 species